GGAAGAGGAAACCCAGGAGCAUGAACAUGAACAGAAAGUAAACAAAUACCAAGCUAUACUGGCAGCCCGUUUGAAGGCUAAAUACUUCUCUAAUAAGGCUUUUGAUGGAGGAAAAAUCUUUGAAGCAGAAACUAUUGUUGAUGGCCAAACUAUCCAAUCAAGCAGGUGGCCAUGUACAAGUUCGUUCACGAACCCAAUAAUCUUUUUCCGAGAUAAGAACAACCAUGAGAGGAAGGAUUCUCCAUCUUUGGUACCAGACUCCUCUGCCAAGAACGACUCUCCAUCUAUAGUAGCUGAGGCCUCUCCAAAGAAUAAUGUAAAUGCUUUGGCAGCAGAAAACAAUCUAACACCUAGCAAGAGACAGCCAUCCAAGGAGACCUGAUGGGAUAAAAUUAGGCUAGUGAGGUUGUUGUAUGUUCCUCUGAAAUAUGAAGACAUGUGAGUUAUCAUGAAACAAAAAUCGGUCCAGCAGAUGUUUGUAAACUUUGCUAGUUUUAUUUCACUUAACCUGUUUCAGCCUCAUCUGUUGUGAAGAAUCGUUGUAUUCUUGAUAUUUAAUUAGAUGAAUCAGAGCAGAACAUUAACUGGUUGCUA